rnacentral:rRNA from 1 species
GAGUUCAGAGUGAGCUCAGCUGGUCGGCCUAAUGGGUCAGAACUGGUUGACUCUCUCUUGUUUGUGGGUCUCGCCCGGAGUUAACUCUUCGGAUGUGGAUCCCACAUCGUUUACCUUGAAAAAAUUAGAGUGUUCAAAGCAGGCGUUUGCUUGAAUAUAUUAGCAUGGAAUAAUGGAAUAGGACGCUGGUUCUAUUUUGUUGGUUUUGAGAACCAGAGUAAUGAUUAAUAGGGACAGUUGGGGGCAUUCAUAUUUCAUUGUCAGAGGUGAAAUUCUUGGAUUUAUGAAAGAUGAACUUCUACGAAAGCAUUUGCCAAGGAUGUUUUCAUUAAUCAAGAACGAAAGUUAGGGGAUCGAAGACGAUCAGAUACCGUCGUAGUCUUAACCAUAAACUAUGCCGACUAGGGAUUGGGCGUGGUUUGUUCAUUGACCCGCUCAGCACCUUACGAGAAAUCAAAGUCCUUUGCGUUCCGGGGGGAGUAUGGUCGCAAGGCUGAAACUUAAAGGAAUUGACGGAGGGGCACCACCAGGAGAGGAGCCUGCGGAUUAAUUUGACUCAACACGGAGAAAACUUACC